AUUCAGACGGUUUUGAAUAGAACAUGUCUUUCAAAUCGCUCUUCUUUCUCUGCCUUCUUCUCCCGCUCUGCACUGCUGCAAGUGCAGACUGCUGCGAUAUGUAUGACGAACCGGCUUUUCUUAGCGAUGACUAUAAUCCUCUUACACAUAAAAGCAUUUGUUACCAACCGAUGAAAAGUGGCCCAUGUUUAUCACGUAUUGAACGAUGGUACUAUGAUGCUGCCAAACAGAAAUGUGUUCGUUUCCUAUUUGGUGGCUGCGGAGAAAACCAAAACAAUUUUCGUACGCUUUCAGAGUGUAUUUCGAGGUGCCAUGAAGCUUAAAAAUGGCUGAAAGCAGAUGUUAUUAUUAGAAGAAGUUGGAUCUGGAAUACUUUGUCCUGGAAUUUCAAUUCUCUUUCAUAGACCCAACUAUUUUUCUUGCUCUGAUUGGUCUUUUCUGUGGAAUUUUUUUUGAC